rnacentral:rRNA from 1 species
GCUCAGAACGAACGCUGGCGGCGUGCUUAAUACAUGCAAGUCGAACGUUAAGUGUAGCAAUACACUGAAAGUGGCGAACGGGUGAGUAACACGUAAGUAAUCUGCCUUUAAGACUGGGAUAACCUUGCCAACGCGGGGCUAAUACCGGAUGUGGUCAGUCGGACGCAUGUCUGAUUGAUUAAAGGAGUGAUCCGCUUAAAGAUGAACUUGCGGCCCAUUAGCUUGUUGGCGGGGUAACGGCCCACCAAGGCUGCGAUGGGUAGCCGGCCUGAGAGGGUGUACGGCCACAUUGGGACUGAGAUACGGCCCAGACUCCUACGGGAGGCAGCAGUAGGGAAUUUUGCGCAAUGGACGAAAGUCUGACGCAGCAACGCCGCGUGAGGGAUGAAGGCCUUCGGGUUGUAAACCUCUGUUGGGUAGGAAAAAAAGGUAGCAAUACUUUGAUGGUACUACCUGAGGAAGCACCGGCUAACUACGUGCCAGCAGCCGCGGUAAUACGUAGGGUGCAAGCGUUGUUCGGAAUCACUGGGCGUAAAGAGAGCGUAGGCGGGAUUGUAAGUUAGAAGUUUAAUACAUGGGCUUAACCCGUGGCUGGCUUUUAAUACUGCAGUUCUUGAGUAUGGGAGAGGGCGAUGGAAUUCCAGGUGUAGCGGUGGAAUGCGUAGAUAUCUGGAAGAACACCAGUAGCGAAGGCGGUCGCCUGGCCUAAUACUGACGCUGAGGCUCGAAAGCUAGGGGAGCAAACAGGAUUAGAUACCCUGGUAGUCCUAGCCGUAAACGAUGAACACUAGUUGCCGGAGGAGUCAAUCUUUUUGGUGACGAAGCUAACGCAUUAAGUGUUCCGCCUGGGAAGUACGCUCGCAAGAGUGAAACUCAAA